AGGAGCAGGAGAAGACAGAGACAGAAUGGAGGAGAGGAGUGAGGCAGAGCAGAGCAAAGACUAAAAAACAGACAAAGCGCAGCAGCGAACACAGAGGGCACAGCUGAAGACAAUAGAACAGAAUUCCACAAAUAACAGCCCUGAAGGGAAAACAGUCAAUGCCAUCUUAUUUGCAAUGAAGAAGUUCAGUGAACUGAUGGGCCCAGAAUGGUCAGUACUCACUCCUCACUUGUUUGCAAAGAAGAAUCUCUGUGAACUGAUCAGUCCUGAAUGCUGGAGAGUUUUUA